AAAUCGUACCCCAAACCGACACAGGUGGUCAGGUAGAGAAUACCAAGGCGCUUGAGAGAACUCGGGUGAAGGAACUAGGCAAAAUGGUGCCGUAACUUCGGGAGAAGGCACGCUGGCGCGUAGGUGAAGGGACUUGCUCCCGGAGCCGAGGCCAGUCGAAGAUACCAGCUGGCUGCAACUGUUUAUUAAAAACACAGCACUGUGCAAACACGAAAGUGGACGUAUACGGUGUGACGCCUGCCCGGUGCCGGAAGGUUAAUUGAUGGGGUUAUCCGCA
rnacentral:rRNA from 1 species